rnacentral:lncRNA from 1 species
AUAGAUGCUAUAUGCUUGAAUCAAGAGGUUCUAUGAUGUAUUCUUGCAAUAGUAGCAAUCUAGGGUUCCGGUUGGGGUUUUGCGAAAUGUUAGGGUUUGGUCUAAAUUAACCCUAUAUAACCCUAAUUGCUAGGUAAUAUGACGCGUUGGUGAACUCGGUUCGGUGAUCCGUCGAGUCCGCGCAGAGAUAUCGAGGAAAAGUACCGUUUCGGCUUUGUUUCCGCCUGGAGGGCCGAGGCGACGU